GGUGAGGUGUUGGGUCCUAUGAGUAUGUUGAGGCCCUCAAUAACCACAUUAGGGAUGUGUGGAGAGGGGAAUGCAAUUUGUCUCCAGAAGAAGGAGAACCUGCUAGGAACACAGACAUUCAGUAGGCAGAACUGGGAAAUUUGUCUACAAAUCUGGCUUUGCAAUUAUUUGUAACUAUCCACCUCUUUAGCCAUGCAAUUUCAAUUUUCUCCAUGUGUCACCAAUAAUUUCUCAGGUUAUUCCUCCAUUCUAGCACAGAUCUGUCAUGGAGGCAGUGCUGGGGAUCAGUCAAGAUGAGCCUGGGCUCCGAAGGCAAUAUCACGCUACGACCUUGGACAACUUGCUUACCGUCUCUGGGCUCGGUUUCCUCAUCUAACCAUGAGGGGCUACUAAUAUUUACUACUUCAUAAAGUUAUCAUGAGGCUAAAACUAGUGCAUCAAAGCAUUUAGGGCAGUGCCUGGUAUAGUAAGC
rnacentral:lncRNA from 1 species